rnacentral:ribozyme from 14 species
UUUUUUUUUUUUUUUUUUGUUUUUUUUUUUUUUUUUUUUUUUUUUCGUGUCGUGUUGUGUCGUGUAUCAAAACGUUUCUAGGCGCGGGCGGCGUCAGUCGAGCCGACGCGCGCGCGUUUGGAGAGUUGAAAAAUACAGUU